AGAGAGACAGACGAGGAAAUGGGAGCAAUGAAGCCUUUAAGAAAAAAUGAAUAUAAUACUAAUUAUAUGGUCAAUACAGGUGGGCGUCUUUCAACUUUGCAACCUUGAGUUCAGCAGCAGAAAAGUAGAUUAAAAGAAUUGGGAGAAUAAGCCAGUUUUUGGCUCGAAAUUGGGCGGCUGGAUCUCUCACUUUGUCCCUGAAGCGGAGAAGAAGUUCAAAGGACAGUCAAUCGCCUGAUGAAGAUCGAUAGAACAUCGUGAACUUGAAUACAGCAGGCAAACGGCAGUGCCACUGAUCCAUUAACCCUGAUGACGAUUGACGACCAGCAGCAGCAUGUAAGAGUAAUGUAACAUGUACUGUGAAAAUACAGGCUGGGCAGUUGAACAGUGGGAUAAAGAAUUGUGGAAGAGCACUGGACAUUGAGUGAUAUUUUGCCAUGCUGGGACUUAAUCUGAAAGAAAGACUGUAAAGAAACAGAGAAGAAGACAACAGCUGAGUUGAGACUGUGUUUGCUGGAGCUUUGAGGCCCGAACAGGACAUUGUGCAGAGAGGACCAGUGAGAGAUGAAGCUGGACGAGUUUGACUGCGAGAAUAUAGGAUAUAAUUGGAUUGAAAAUUGAAACCUGAACUCAUGAAUUGUUUAGGGAUGUCCACUACAGCAUAACAAAGAGCAUGAUGUGUCCAGGAACCUGAAAAGCAAGCCCCAGCUCCUGGCUGAAGACCCGGAGGGCGGUAAUUUAAGGUGGGAAAUCAAAAUGUGGGUUAGUAACUCGGGGAAAAAGAAAACUGACUGCUUAACUGGAGAGUUGGGAAGAAGUCUGGGAGACUGUGAAGUCAUAGAUGCAAAAUAACAUAUACCCAUACACACACAAACAGAAAAUGCAUUAACCUUAUAAAGACAAGCUCCUGAAGCUUAAUGAACAGAUAUUGAUUAAAAACCUGGCUAAGAACAUAAGCAUAUGCAAUGAAGAUCUGCUUGCUGCUUGUAUGAGUGAGAGAAUGGUGUGAAUGGUUAAUACAAUUGAUGGAAAGAUUUAAA
ensembl:lncRNA